GCUGGGGCUGGUGGCGCACGCCUGUAAUCCCAGUAGCUUGGGAGGCUGAGGCAGGGGGAUCAUGAGUUCAAAGCCAAUCUCAGCAGAAGUGAGGUUCUAAGCAAAUCAGCGAGACCCUGUCUCUA
rnacentral:sRNA from 1 species